rnacentral:lncRNA from 1 species
UACUCACCUAAACAGACUUUACAAAAAUUAUGAAAGCAAGCCAAGCUUCGUGGUUCCUGUAGAGUUUCCAAACACAUGCAACAUGUGAGUAGUUCGUUGAUUUCAUCAACAGGAACACUUUCUGAUGAAGCACUUGCCAUUUCAAUUAAAUCUUUCUUACUUCACAAUUUAGAUAACAUAUUUGUGUCUUCUUUCCAACGAAAUGAUCGCAAAUAAAAAUCUUUGUGAAAGUGUUGGAUUGCUUGAAAAUUGCGAAAUUCGAAGAAUUCGCUCUAGCCCGCGAUCAGGCUGGGAUGACCAGAUAAAGCAUUGUAAAAUUGAUGUCGCAAAAUAAAAUGGUCAUUUCCAGUAAAUUUAAUACUCUGAAACUAAAAAAGGUACUCCAUCUAGUAUUAUAGUAAACAUUUUAGAAUUUUAAGAUGAUCUCAUUUUCGGUUUUUAUUUCACACUUCAUUUAGUAACCCAUUGAGCGGCAACGCUCCCAAAUGAUUCGAUUUUAU